AGUAUGGUGAGCGCGAGCCGCGUCUGCUGCUCCCUAUUGGCUCCGCUCCUUCUCUCGCUGCCCCUCCCGUCACCCACGGCCUCGCGCGAGUCCUGCGCCCCUCGCUGAAUCCAUAUAUAGACUCUGCUUGGGGGAAGGGAGGAGGCGGAGCAUGUGAAAGGUUGUGACUGGCCAGCUGAUGCCUGAAGCUCUUUCUAAAUCCUCCUGGUCCUGGCCUUGCCCCAUGUGUCUGGGAAUGCUGACUGUCGGUCACUACUACAAAGGUUUCUUCAGUUUUGUCUCCACCGCUGUCCUGGGUCUGUCGCCAACUCAUUUGAUCUGUAUCCCACUGAUGCUUGGAUUGGACAAUUGCCUUUUACCACUGCUUUGUGUGGCUAUGUGCUGAUUGGACUCUGACCUGCUCACCUGUGCUUACUUGGCUCAUUUGUUGCAGCGAGCCAUCUGCUUCGCUUGGCAUUUUCUUAAUAGCUUCUGUGUAAUAUCCAUCAGCCCUCCACUGGGUUGCAACAGCCUAUCCCAGGGGUCGACAGCCUUUGGCACUCAGCUCGUCAGGGUUCACCAAGCCCCUGAAAGGGUAUAAACUAAAUCAGGAGCUACUCUUUGAUGUGUUCCACCAAAUUUCCCUUUCAUCUUUGUUUCUAAUGGCCUCCACAAUGUAACAUUGUAGUGUAUAAAUAUGCUACACCCUAACCAAAUUAAAGUGAUGAAGCUUGAACAAAUGCACAAAGAAGUGAGUUGAUGGGCCUGAUUUACUACUCUAUCACACCAAUGUUACUCCAUUGACUUCAGUGGAAUUACUUCCAAUUUACACCCAUGUAAAUGAGGGAAUAAUCAGGCUCGUGGUAUAAACUUCUCCAUUCAUUUUGAAACUUCUGUAAAUAAAAUCCCACUUUGGCAGGAAGUUUGAUUUUGUG